GUCAUCUUUUAUAACGUUUUGCCGCUUGGGGGUUGAAGUUCUGAGUUUUCAAAACUUUCAUUCCAAAUCAACAUACAUGUUUGUUUUUUAAUGACUAGGGUAAUUGUAUCCUAUUUCUGAACAAAUUGCAGUGUAUUUACACAUUGGUUAAGCUACAUUCAAUGUCCCAGUGCAGUACAACAAUCACAUAAUGGCUGGUAAGGCGUUAAAGUGGAAAAUAGUGGCAGAUACCACUGGACCUCAUCCUCGGCCAAGACAUGGACAUCGUGCAAUUAUUAUUAAAGACUUGAUGGUUGUUUUUGGUGGAGGAAAUGAAGGGAUUGUUGAUGAGCUUCAUGUUUUUAAUACAGCAACAAAUCAAUGGUUUAUUCCAAUUACUAAAGGUGAUGUACCUCCAGGAUGUGCUGCUUUUGGUUUUGUAGUUGAUGGAACCAAAUUACUAGUUUUUGGGGGAAUGGUAGAGUACGGAAAGUACAGCAAUGAGCUUUAUGAGUUGCAGGCUGCAAAAUGGGAAUGGAAGAAACUAAAACCAAAAGAACCAAAAUUUGGCAAUCUUCCUUGUCCACGGUUAGGACAUAGUUUUACUGUAGUAAAUUCAAAGGUGUAUCUCUUUGGCGGAUUAGCAAAUGAUAGUACAGAUCCCAAAAACAAUAUCCCGAGAUACUUAAAUGAUCUCUUUACAUUGGAUAUAAAAAGUAACCCUAUGCAAUGGAAUCUCCCCCAAACCAAUGGUCCAGCUCCCACUCCAAGAGAAUCUCAUUCCUCUGUGGCAUAUGUGGAUAAAAACAAGAACUCUUUUUUAAUCAUAUAUGGAGGUAUGAGUGGGUGUAGGUUGGGUGAUUUGUGGUUUCUGGAAACAGAAACAAUGACUUGGGUCCAACCCCAAGUUUCAGGAAUUUCACCUCUACCGAGAUCUCUUCACACUUCCACAUUAAUUGGUCAUAAAAUGUUUGUUUUUGGGGGAUGGGUUCCUUCAAAUCUGUCUAAAGAUGUAAACGCCAUUGAAACAGCGUGGAAGUGUACAAAUACUUUGGCAUGUCUCAAUUUAGAAACGAUGAGCUGGGAUGAAAUCAAUAUCCAACAACAAGCUGAUCUACCUUGUGCCAGAGCAGGUCACUGUGCAGUGGGAAUUAGUACUAGGUUGUAUGUAUGGUCUGGUCGAGACGGAUAUAGAAAAGCCUGGAAAAAUCAGGUGUGCUGCAAAGAUUUGUGGUAUUUAGAUGUAGAUAAACCUCCUGCUCCUAGUCGUGUAUCUUUGGUUAAAGCAGGAACACAUACCCUUGAAGUCAAUUGGACUGGAGCACUAUCUGUGCAGACAUACAUCUUACAGAUACAAAAAUAUGAUUUACCCCCACCUGCUGCAUCGAAAACUCCAGCAACUGCUGCACCAGUAAUUCCAUCUUUGGUAACUGUACCAAAAGUAAUUGCUCCAGUUCUAGCCAGUUCACUUCAGACUCAGCCUACUACAUCUACACCAACUAUUAAAGCAAUUUCAAGUACUAACCAGGUUCAGUCACCUAAAAUUAUUUCACCAGUUGCUACAAGAGUACCACAAAUGAAGAUUCAAGGUACUACAGGAACUAUUAUCAGAGAUGGCAGUCCUCAGGUAGCAGGCAAACAAUUAAUAAUGAAACAAGGAGGCAAUAUUAUCCAAAAGGCGGGAGCUCCACAGCAAGUUAUAACUUUUGUCAAAACUAGUGCAGGUAUGACGUUGGCGACAAUACCAAAAGGGAGCAACGUGGUUCAGGCAAAACCAAAUGUUUUACCUCAAUCUCCCAAAAAUACCAUUGUGAAAAUUAUACCAACCACGGCAGCAAAUAAAGUUCAAACAUCCAUAAAAACGAUUCCAUACCAUUUGGAUAAGGCGACUGGGAAAUUAGUUCCUCUCAAAACUAUGGGACAGAUUCCUACAAUCGGCAAUCAACAAGUUCUGGUAAUGAAUUCAAAUGCAGGUUUGAAAAAUAUACAAACAUUAAGCAAUGCACAGUCUCUAAAUUUGAGUCCUGUAAAAACCACUUCUAUAAAUACUCAACCAAUCGUAACUGCAGCAAAUUUAACAAACCUAACAAAUCUACAAGGCGUUAAGAUUGCUGGCAAACCUAUUACCAUAUCAAUGCCAAUGCAAGUUGUUGGAUCUCCUAAGACAGUCACUUUGUCAAAAAAUACAAAACAGGUGAUGAUCGGAGGGAAACCAGUUACUGUACAGAUGGCGACAGGUACUAACAAAACACUGACAUUGGUUCAGCCUAAUCAGUCUGCUGCAGUAGGCAAGAUUGUCCGAUUGCCAAUAGGUUCGACAAUAAAUCACUCUGGUAACAGCGGUGAACAACCAAAACUAAUGGUAAUUUCUCGUCCCAAACAACCAAAUGCAAAUAUAGCUUCGACUUCCUUUGAUAGUCCAGCCACAACAGAUGCAGCACUUGCUGCCAUAGCUGCAGAAGCUGGUCUGAUAGAUCCUGCACCUGAGGGAGGCGUAGGAAAAUUAGAUGGAUCUGAGGGAAAUGCUACACAAACAGUAGUUCUUUCGCAGGGAAGCAGUACAUCCAAUGUUGCUGCUCCUGUGCAAGUCUUAGGAUCUGGUUCUAUUAUGCAGCAACUUGGGUUGAAAGGGGGUGCUAGAUUCCAAAGACCACCUAAAAGCUUUAGGUAUCGUUUAGGAUUGUAUGGAGGUGGUGGCGUGGAUGAUGUAGAUGAAGAAAUGAAACCUUCAACUACAACAGCUGAAGCUGAUUCUACGCAAGCUACCGUCAAUGAAAUUGCGCCCUCUUCUUCUAAUGCUGAAAUUAUAAAAAUGGACUGGGAGUCAGAUUCAACACCUAAACAAUCUGAAGAAAGCUUAAGCGUUGAGGCAAAAUCUGACUCAGAAACAAAAUCGGAAGCCGAAGCAAAACCGGAAGAAACUACACAAAUUGAGGCUGAAUCAGAGGCUGAUAUAGGAACAGACGUUGACAUGAGAUUAGAAACUGAAGAACAAUCAGGCAGCAAAGACAACUUGGAACCCGAGACAAGUAAAAACACAUUGGAACCUGAGACAAGUAAAAACACAUUGGAACCUGAGACAAGUAAAAACACAUUGGAACCUGAGACAAGUAAAAACACAUUGGAACCUGAGACAAGUAAAAACACAUUGGAACUUGAAGAAAAGUCGGAGAGUGAAAACAAUUUAGAAGCUGAUAAAAAACCAGAAACUGAUGACAAAUCGGAAGCUGAAGAAAAAUCUGAACAGUCUAGUCAGAUAGAAUCAGAUAUUACAAAAUCUCCAGAGGAGAAUCAAGCCAAGUCUGAGUCUGGACCUGAAGAAACGAAGUCGGAAAUGGAGACUGAUAUUAAAAAACCAGUUUUGGGAGACCUGUCUUCCAGUGACUCGGUGAAAAUGGAAGUAGACAUUAAAAAAGAAGAACCAUCAAUUGAUCCAAAUUGUCACACUUACAGUCAAAAUAUCACAACUUUAAAAACAGAUGAAAUGGUUCCCGAAGUGAAAAAAGGAAUUCUUGCACUUGACGAUGAUCCUCUAGCAGCCUUAGCUACUGCUGCCUUGGCUGAAAAUAAUUCCCAUGAUCCUGAAGUGCCUCUUAAAGACACUUGGUAUACUGUCGGCUUCAUUCGAGGGAAUAGUUGUGAUGUAAAGAGUUAUUUCUUGUUAAAUGAAGACACUGAGAAUCUGACCUUAGACACUUUGCCUUCUACUGUAAAUUACCCCGCGGGAUUCAAUCUUGAACCGGGCACUGCAUACAAGUUCAGAGUCGCAGCUAUCAAUUCAUUAGGUCGAAGUGAUUGGAGUGAGGUAUCAGCGUUUAAAACUUGUCUACCGGGCUUCCCAGGUGCACCUUCUGCAAUCAAAAUAACCAAAUCGGUAGAAGGCGCAAAUUUAUCUUGGGAACCUCCUAGUGCCAACCAAGGUGAAAUAUUAGAAUAUUCUGUUUAUUUGGCUGUGAAAGCAAAGGAUAAGGUUAAUACCAAUGCUGGUCAACUGGCCUUUGUACGGGUUUACUGUGGCCCGAAUAACAAAUGUGUUGUAAGUAACAACUCCUUGUCUGCUGCCCAUCUAGACACAACGACGAAAGCGGCGAUCAUAUUCCGUAUUGCCGCUAAAAACGAAAAGGGUUACGGACCCGCAACCCAGGUUAGGUGGUUGCAAGACGCAUCAUCCAAAACAAAGCGUCUUGCAGAUUCCUCACCUAAGAAAGUAUGAUAAAGAAGAAAUGUAAAAAUAUACGACGGUGUGUGAAUGUGGUAAAAAUAUAAAUAUUGGUUAUUUGGAUGUUGCGGGUUCGGAUUUGCAAUUGAAAAGUACUUUCUUUUUAAGUAUUAACUGCUUGACGAUUUGCAUCUUCGAAAACUUGAAUGGAAGUCUUAUAAGGUAUCAUCUCCAAGAGCAACUUGAGGGACACCUUUUUUGUUCCCUGUGGAAGCUGUCUGUCUCUUCUACGUUGAUCGUACUGCAGCCCAUUGGCUUAUUGUACAUCUUCUGAAGGACACCUUAGUACUGUUGUACACUCGCCAGAGAAAAGCUUGACUAGAUGAGUAACGAAGUCACCGAAUCUGUCAACUUCACUCAGUCAUUGACUAAUUCUGGCAUUACUGAUGACGUGAUGACCUUUAACGAAAACUUCAUCAUAGAAGGAGACAGAAUCCGUCAAAGCAGUAUCGACAAUGCCAAGGAAAUCGAUAACAGAAUCGAUACCCAAGUCAUUAUCACUCCCGCAACUCCAGCAGAAAGAAGAAUUUAAAGCCACAGAAGCACCGUCGUAGACAAAAUAAAUUUUAUAACUUUAUAGACAAGAUCCGAUAUAACAACGACCUUCACCGAUGUGUUUAAUUGGGUUCCAUGACAUCUCGGAACGCGACAGUUCGUACCCCGACAAAUGGUGACGGACAAUUCGUAACGGCAACAGUUCGUAACUAUACAUUUUCGUAACGGUACAAUUCGUAACGCUAACAUUUAAUUUUUUGUAGCAAAUUAUUUCACACAUAUUUCUGCAUAUAUUCUUUUUAAUAUAACAACUAUAAGACAUGAAUUACAGGUAAAAUCGCUCAACGAAAGAGUUGAAGAAAAAAAGUUAAAAUGGGCUGGACACAUGAUAAGAAUGAGUGGCGACAGACAAGUGAAAAUGACAUGGGAGGCCAAAGCAGUGGGUAAAAGCACGAGGGGCAGACCAAGGAAAAGAUGGAACACUAGUGUAAACGAAAUACUUUAGAAAAGAGGAACAACGUGGCAAGAAGCAAAAAUUUUAGCAGCAGAUAGGAAGAAGUGGCGGAAAUUUGCAGAGAGUAUUAUAUAAAGGAGGAAUCUUCGACAUUUAAUGGUAAAAGAGGCAAUCGAUUAUGUAUAUAUAAUAACUAAAGAAUUUUUUUAAAAUUUUGUCUUGAAUUGUCUCUUUAAAGUUACAAAACUCAGUGGAAAAUAAUGAAACAAUUAAGAAUAGUUUAAUUAUUCUUCACUAAAUAAUAUGAAAUGUGUUGGAAAUGUUUAUCCUGAUGCUUGUUCAUUAAAUUGAUAAACAUAAUUUCAAUUGUAACUAAUAAAAAUUAGUUUCCACGUUAACAAGAAUUAUCCGUUACCAUUUGCGUUCUUACGAACUGUCGUGUUACGAGAUGUCUGGUCACGGUUUAAUUGAUAGAAAUUAUUUGAUAUGUAAUUUAUUAUGUCAAAAAUUAUGAAAAAAAAACAAGGGGUGUUCGACAUAAUUUUGUCCAGACUAUAAUUAAUAAUAAUUAAAAAACGAUUUUUUAUAAAUUCUAAAAAAUUUUCGACCCGGAGAGAUAUCAUUUUUGAUUUUUAAAUCAUUCCAAACAAACAAGGUCUUGUGUAAUUUUUCUCAAGUUGGUCUUUUUCGAGUUAUAAACAUUUUAAAACUAAAAAAAAAACGAAAACGGACGAUUUUCAAGGCUCAAAACAGAAGUAAAAAAUAUCAUUUUUGAAAUUACGAAGUACCUAAAUUCAAGUUCAAAAUUUAUUCUAUCAGUUCUUGAUAAGCAUUUUGGGCUUGUUUCAUUUUAAAACAUUGUUUUUAGUUGUUAAUGCAGCCCGAUCGCCCAUCUUCCCAUAAGGAACCUUCCUCAUUAACAUUUAAAAAAGUAUAUUUUAGAAUAAAACAUGGCAAGAGGGUUUGAACUUAAAUUUAGGUACUUGAUAAUUACAAAAAUAAUUUCUUGGGUCUUGAAAAUCGUCAUUUUCCGUUCUUUUUUCAGUUUUAAAUUGUUUAUAACUCGAAAACGAGUAACUUAAGAGUAAAAUUAUUAAACAAAAUACCUUUUUUGUUUCGAAUAAUCCAAAAAAUCUAAAUAUCUGCCCGGGUCGAAAAAAUUUUAGUAGAGUUUAUAAAAAAAAGUCAUUUGUGUAUUAUUAAUUAAUUAUAGUCUGGACAAACUUGCAUCGGGCUUGUUUUUUUUAAUUUUUGACAUACUAAAUUAUAUUUCAAAUCAUUUUUAUUUAUUAACAGAUCUGUGAAGGUCGCUCUUAUAUCGGAUCCUCUACUAUUACAGCUACCAGUAUAGUUGUUUCUGAUAGAUAAAAUUACCAAUUUGCAUAUAUUUAAAUACGUUUAUUUAAUUCGAACCUGAGCUUAGAAAGAUAGGAAAAAAAAUUGUGUUUAUAUGAAUAUUUUAAUAUGUAACUGUUUUUGAUAGUUUCUUAUUAUUAUAACUUUAUUUUAUUUGUAUCAUAUUAUACUUUUUUCUACCAAGACAA
rnacentral:misc_RNA from 1 species